rnacentral:lncRNA from 1 species
CAGUAGAUGCGCAUUCAAGUAUCGGUGACACUGUACUGUUAUAGAUUUUGGUGUAAGUAUAUAGUCCAUGUUUCCCAUAUUAUUGUAUUUUGAAGUUAAUGAUCCUAGAGCUCUGCUGCCUGUGGUAAGUAAUUCAUACGCUGUAGUUGUAAAAUCGGUAUGUUCACAGAUGACUAGGCCAAGAUAGCGAUAUUUUGAGGUAAGUUGCAAUGCUUUACCACCAAACAUAAAAGUAUGAUCGC